rnacentral:rRNA from 1 species
GAUGAACGCUGGCGGCGUGCUUAACACAUGCAAGUCGAACGAUGAAGCCCAGCUUGCUGGGUGGGUUAGUGGCGAACGGGUGAGUAACACGUGAGCAACCUGCCCCUGACUCUGGGAUAAGCGCUGGAAACGGCGUCUAAUACUGGAUAUGUCCCGUCACCGCAUGGUGUGCGGGUGGAAAGAUUUUUCGGUUGGGGAUGGGCUCGCGGCCUAUCAGCUUGUUGGUGAGGUAAUGGCUCACCAAGGCGUCGACGGGUAGCCGGCCUGAGAGGGUGACCGGCCACACUGGGACUGAGACACGGCCCAGACUCCUACGGGAGGCAGCAGUGGGGAAUAUUGCACAAUGGGCGGAAGCCUGAUGCAGCAACGCCGCGUGAGGGAUGACGGCCUUCGGGUUGUAAACCUCUUUUAGCAGGGAAGAAGCGAAAGUGACGGUACAUGCAGAAAAAGCACCGGCUAACUACGUG